CAGCACGUAGCUAAAUCAGAAUAGCACCUCCCUUACACCGAGAAGACACCUGUGCAAAUCAGGUCGCGCUGA
rnacentral:tRNA from 1 species